rnacentral:rRNA from 1 species
AAGUGGUAGCAAUACCAUGAGUAAAGUGGCGCACGGGUGAGUAACACGUGACUAACCUACCCUGGAGUGGGGGAUAACUGAGGGAAACCUUAGCUAAUACCGCAUAAUACCCACGGGUCAAAGGAGCAAUUCGCUUUGGGAGGGGGUCGCGGCCGAUUAGUUAGUUGGCGGGGUAACGGCCCACCAAGACGAUGAUCGGUAUCCGGCCUGAGAGGGCGCACGGACACACUGGAACUGAAACACGGUCCAGACUCCUACGGGAGGCAGCAGUGGGGAAUUUUGCGCAAUGGGGGAAACCCUGACGCAGCAACGCCGCGUGGAGGAUGAAGUCCUUCGGG